GACGAACGCUGGCGGCGUGCUUAACACAUGCAAGUCGAACGGAAAGGCCCUGCUUUUGUGGGGUGCUCGAGUGGCGAACGGGUGAGUAACACGUGAGUAACCUGCCCCUGACUUUGGGAUAACUUCAGGAAACUGGGGCUAAUACCGGAUAGGAGCUCCUGCUGCAUGGUGGGGGUUGGAAAGUUUCGGCGGUUGGGGAUGGACUCGCGGCUUAUCAGCUUGUUGGUGGGGUAGUGGCUUACCAAGGCUUUGACGGGUAGCCGGCCUGAGAGGGUGACCGGCCACAUUGGGACUGAGAUACGGCCCAGACUCCUACGGGAGGCAGCAGUGGGGAAUAUUGCACAAUGGGCGGAAGCCUGAUGCAGCAACGCCGCGUGCGGGAUGGCGGCCUUCGGGUUGUAAACCGCUUUCGCCUGUGACGAAGCGUGAGUGACGGUAAUGGGUAAAGAAGCACCGGCUAACUACGUG
rnacentral:rRNA from 1 species